UGGGGAAUUUUGGACAAUGGGGGAAACCCUGAUCCAGCCAUCCCGCGUGUGCGAUGAAGGCCUUCGGGUUGUAAAGCACUUUUGGCAGGAAAGAAACGUCAUGGGUUAAUACCCCGUGAAACUGACGGUACCUGCAGAAUAAGCACCGGCUCACUACGUGCCAGCAGCCGCGGUAAUACGUAGGGUGCAAGCGUUAAUCGGAAUUACUGGGCUUAAAGCGUGCGCAGGCGGUUCGGAAAGAAAGAUGUGAAAUCCCAGGGCUCAACUUUGGAACUGCAUUUUUAACUACCGGGCUAGAGUGUGUCAGAGGGAGGUGGAAUUCCGCGUGUAGAAGUGAAAUGCGUAGAUAUGCGGAGGAAAACCGAUGGCGAAGGCAGCAUCCUGGGAUAACACUGACGCUCAUGCACGAAAGCGUGGGGAGCAAACAGG
rnacentral:rRNA from 1 species